CCUACGGGUGGCUGCAGUGGGGAAUAUUGGACAAUGGGCGAAAGCCUGAUCCAGCCAUGCCGCGUGUGUGAAGAAGGCCUUCGGGUUGUAAAGCACUUUCAGUGGGGAAGAAAGCCUUGGGGCUAAUACCCUCGAGGAAGGACAUCACCCACAGAAGAAGCACCGGCUAACUCCGUGCCAGCAGCCGCGGUAAUACGGAGGGUGCGAGCGUUAAUCGGAAUUACUGGGCGUAAAGCGCGCGUAGGCGGUCUGAUAAGCCGGUUGUGAAAGCCCCGGGCUCAACCUGGGAACGGCAUCCGGAACUGUCACGCUAGAGUGCAGGAGAGGAAGGUAGAAUUCCCGGUGUAGCGGUGAAAUGCGUAGAGAUCGGGAGGAAUACCAGUGGCGAAGGCGGCCUUCUGGACUGACACUGACGCUGAGGUGCGAAAGCGUGGGUAGCAAACAGGAUUAGAUACCCUGGUAGUC
rnacentral:rRNA from 1 species